CCCAACCCUCCCACAUCUCUCUCCCACCCCACCAUUCCCACUGCCCUCCUCCUCGGCACAUCUCACUCCUCCCCACUGAAUCCUUCCCACUGCAGGGAGCUGCUGAGGAGCCACAUGGUCCAUCCCUGGAUUCUCCUAGCACCGACUGCCCAUCAACUCUGACCACAGCCAGGGGCCACAUCCCACUGCCUGCCCAGCGUCCAUCCAUGGAGGAGCCGCUUUAGGACAUGGAUCCCAAAGGAGCAAGAGGGACCAGGAAGCGCCGCUGAUCUGCACAGAGCCCUUUGCCUGCUGCUGCCCCACAGGGAACAGGGAGCUGCUGAGGAGCCACACGGUCCAUCCCUGCAUUCUCCAAGCACUCUGACCACAGCCAGGGGCCACAUCUCACUGCCUGCCCAGUGUCCAUCCAGGGGAUGAA